UACUAUACUGGAACUCAUAAU
rnacentral:piRNA from 1 species